UACGUAGGGUGCAAGCGUUGUCCGGAAUUAUUGGGCGUAAAGAGCUCGUAGGCGGUCUGUCGCGUCGGAUGUGAAAACCCAGGGCUCAACCCUGGGCCUGCAUUCGAUACGGGCAGACUAGAGUUCGGUAGGGGAGACUGGAAUUCCUGGUGUAGCGGUGAAAUGCGCAGAUAUCGGGAGGAACACCCGUAGCGAAGGCGGCACUCUGGGCCGGUACUGACGCUGAGGAGCGAAAGCGUGGGGAGCAAACAGG
rnacentral:rRNA from 1 species